GGUCUUCAGGAUUACUAGCAACUUCCAGGCAGGUUUUUGGAGCAGUUAAGAGCUAAACUCUGUGGGAUUGGACAGCCCUGCUUUAUAUCCAUCUCGGGGAUUUUUCCGAGGCCGUCUCUUAACACACGGUGCCGUUUUCUUGGCGGGAUUUGGGGCACGUGGAGCGAGGGAUCGGCUGUACAGAGGGCGCCAGCGUGCAGAAGAAGCCGGCGAUGAGGGACAGGCCCAAACCGCCCCAGGCGCAGAACAUUGACCAGCCGUAACCGUGACUGAUGUCGUCUGGGAGGCCGUAUAUGUAACGAGGGUAACGGGACAGCUCGAAGUUGAUGCCUGCUACACAGCUGACUUACCGCCCAUGAGGAAGAGUAGGCCUGCCACAUACUGCAUGAGGCCACGGUCCCAACAGCACCCCAGCAUCCCAAUUAUCCAGCCGAAGAGGAUGAUGGCCACCGCCAUUCCCAUAAAUCCUGCA